rnacentral:misc_RNA from 1 species
UACAGAGACCUCAAGCGUUAUCCGGAGUUACUGGGCGUAAAGCGCGUGCAGGCGGGUUAGUAAGUUACUCAUGAAAGCUCCUGGCUAAACUGGGAGAGGUUGAGUGAUACUGCUAGCCUAGAGUGGAUGAGAGGUAAGUAGAAUUCCUUGUGUAGUGGUGAAAUGCGUAGAUAUAAGGAAGAAUACCAGUGGCGAAGGCGACUUACUGGCAUCCAACUGACGCUCAGACGCGAAAGCAUGGGUAGCGAACGGG